rnacentral:lncRNA from 1 species
CAAUGUUGAGCUGAAACAUAUUUUUACUUAAAUAACACUCAUGUAAUAUACUUAGUAAAAUAAUGUAAUAAUGUGUCCAGUAAAAACAUGUUUGGAUUUCUUUUAUCUAUUGGCCAACUUGACUAGUGAGUCAGAAACUAGAUUUUGUUCUCUGAGGUUGUGACUUCAAACCAUCAAACCACACACAGUAAAAUCAGUUUGAAGACUGCUGCUGCCUAAAGUUAACUGCUGAAUGAUUGUAGGAUUCUCUUCAUAGGAUGCUUAAGCUAGUGGUAGCUCACAGAACACCUGCUGCAUUGUUCUACAAACACUUUGUCUUUGAGACUAUUUCCAAAUGAAAUGUUCAAAUAAAAUAGUUGUUGUUAAAAAUGUUCUGUCAUUUGUAACCUUUGGUAAAGAACGUCCAUGGUCAUCUCUCUAAAUUUUGCAGGAUUAUCUUUUAAAUACCUUUAUGUCUCAUCACUCUACAAUAUUAUUAGCUUUCCUUCAUGCUCAUAAGAUAAGUGGAAGCUCAACAAACCCAGUGUUAGUGAACCUCUGAGUUUAUCUGUUUGAAGAGGGAGGCCUCUCUCUGCACCUUAUUUCUACUAAUGUGUCUUUUCUCAUUUGUUUUGUUGGGUAUGAAACCAUUGAGGGUUGCACGGUGUGUGCAGUGGUUAGCCCAAACAUCGAAAAGGCCCUGGUUCAAAUCCCAGCGGGGACCUCACUGUGUGGAGUUGUAUGUUCUUCCUUUACAUUGGUCCAGACUACAGAUCCAGUUGUUCUGAGUCGCUGAACCAGGACUCCCCCACAAGCCGUGACCAGUCCAAGGAAGCUGCUGUGUGGGAACAAGAAGAAGUGACCAGUGAGGAGAGCGAUGCUCAGCUGGUGCAGUCGGACGAGGAGGACGUUCAACCGGACACGUCACUCAUUGGUCUGAGAGACGUCUGUGCAGCCGGAGGCUCUGAGGACAGCGACUCAGCUGAGGCCUCACCCCCCCACAGUCAACACUGACCUGCUGGACAGCAGCUCUGUGUUGAGCCUGUCCUUCAUUAUGUCCACUGACUGACUGGAACGCUGGACAUUAAAGAUCAAAGUAAAUAAACAUCUGUCAUUUGCUUGUAAACCAAUUACUCCCAACUGUAAUAAAUUGCAGAUUACUUGUUGCUCUUAUUCCAAAGUAAUCCCUUUCCUUACAAUAUAUUACUAUCUAAGAAUUACAGCACAUCACAUGACUCCUGUGUAAUCCAUCCAUCCAUUAAUCCAGUCCACUCCACCCACCGAGAGAGAACAAACUACCUUUCUCCGGUCCAGAACCAUGGCCUCAGAUUUAGCGGUGCUGACUCUCAUCCC